GGGGGAUUAGCUCAUUUGGCUAGAGCGCUACGCUGGCAGCGUCGAGGUGACCGGUUCGAAUCCGGUAUUCUCCA
rnacentral:tRNA from 2 species